rnacentral:rRNA from 1 species
CUGGCCGGCUCGUAAUGGGGCCUUUCCUUCGGGACAGGGGAGACAGGUGGUGCAUGGUUGUCGUCAGCUCGUGUCGUGAGAUGUUGGGUUAAGUCCCGCAACGAGCGCAACCCCUAUCUUCAGUAGCCAGCAUUACGGAUGGGCACUCUGGAGAGACUGCCAGGGACAACCUGGAGGAAGGUGGGGAUGACGUCAAAUCAUCAUGCCCCUUAUGGCCAGGGCUACACACGUGCUACAAUGGCGUGAACAAAGGGAAGCAGCCAUGUGAAUGUGAGCAAAUCCCAAAAAUAACGUCUCAGUUCGGAUUGUAGUCUGCAACUCGACUACAUGAAGCUGGAAUCGCUAGUAAUCGCGAAUCAGAAUGUCGCGGUGAAUACGUUCCCGGGUCUUGUACACACCGCCCGUCACACCAUGGGAGUCAGUAACGCCCGAAGCCGGUGACCUAACCGAAAGGGAGGAGCCGUCGAAGGUGGGACCGAUAACUGGGGUGAAGUCGUAACAAGGUAGCCGUAUCGGAAG